rfam:Ciona savignyi cont_66524, whole genome shotgun sequence.
UAAACGGCUCUUUUUAGAGCUACUUCAUUUUUUAUAAAGAGUAACC